ACAGCUGGGUAGGCUCGGGGUGGGCUGGGAGGCUGCAGCCGCCAUUGUGUCUCCGGACCUUGCCAGAGUCAUGGGUGAGAACUAGGCUGCAGGAAGGAUCCAGCAGAAAAAAACCUGGAGUUUUAAACCCAGUGGUUGCCCAAUUAUUUCAAGACUGUUAAAAAUGCAGAGGAGCUGUGGGGUAUCUGAGGCAGGAGAAUGUGUGAGCACAGAAAUUUCCCUCAGAGACUGAAGGUACACGGCAUAAAUGAAUUAUGACAAAACACUGCCUACUGUCUUCCCAGGUGUCCUACGUGUGUGAGAAGAGGGGCAAGGAAGAGGCAUCAAUCAUGAGCACUUUGUGUUGCCCUCAUGAAACUUGGGAGCAUGGGGACCUGAAGCAAGUAACCAUGAAGCUCACCACUGCUUUUGCUGUAAACACCAUAUCAACUCUGCUUUACCCUUUUGGAGAAGACAUCCCUGGCUGACAAGUAACUACCUGACAUGAAGGAAUAUAACUUGUUCAUUUUUUUUAUGCCACAUAGAGCCUAGCACAUUGCUUUGUGUAAAAUAAGCGGGCAGUAAAUGUUUGUUAAAUUGACUUAAACUGAAAUUAAAUGUAAGGUAGAAAUGUUCAGAUUGUAUAAUUAAUUGUAUAUGUCAACAAAGAAAAGUAAUCAUGGAAAAUUAUGAAGUACUGAAUUUAAGAAAGAGGAGUACAAAAAAGGUGAUUAUUUUCAAACGGGCAAAGCUAAGAAAGAAGAUGAAAUUGCUGUCGUCCAGAGUGGGGUAAGAGCAAAGACUUGGUGACAGAAUCACACUUAGGGAGUAUUUGGCAGAAGAAAAGUCAGAAAAGGAAAAAGGGAGUUAAGUGUAAUUAGGGUAGAAGAAGCAAGAUAGUCUGAAGCUAUAGCAAGCCAGUUUUCAAAACUGGGAUGAGGAAAAUUAAAUGAGGGUAUGCACAGAGUCAUUAUUAAAUACCAGUGGAUAUUUGGGGGGAAACUAUAAAAAAUAUACAUUUUACAAAGUUGUUGAAGGCUUUUGUUUGUUUAUUUACUUACUUACAUAUAAGACUUGCAGGAAUUCCCUAGAACAUUCUUAUUUUUUUUCUUUUUUACAUUCUUUAUUUUAAUUUAGCCGACACACAGUUAUCCAUAGUCAUGGAAGAGAAAAAUGUUAAGAUAAGUCAGAGGAGUGGAUAACUCCAAACAUGUAGAAUUGACUCGAAAGCACAUUGUAUAUGAUUUCUGAGGCAGCAAAUUUCCCUUUCAGUGUUUGCUAGAUUUAUAUGAAGAAUAGCUUUUCUUUCUUAACAUAAAACCUGAGUGGUGAAAGGAAAAGAGAACUGGAGUUUGAAAAGCAGUCACGUGCUUAUAUUUGUGGGCUUAUUAUUAUAAGUAUAAAACUGCUUCACAUCGUUCUAAAUGUAAACCCUUUCUGACUUUAUCUAUCUUCACAUUUUACAACAAAGAGAUAAGGUCAUUGGACCAGAACUCAGAUCUAGUUUCUAUUCUUAGCAUCACCACGAACUGUGUAGUGCAGGAGGGAAAUAUUCAGGCCCUUUGUGCCUCAGUUUUCUCACCUAAAAAUGAAGAGAUUGACUAGAUGAUCUCAAUUAUGCCCUCCGGAACAAAAAACACCAUAUAGAUGGUUCUAUUGUUUGGGGGACUAGCCAAAUAACUGGUUUGCAUUUCAUGCGAUUUUUUUUUUUACGAAAUUUUUUGACAUAUGUAAUUACUUCCUUAAAAGCAGAUUUUCUGGAGAAAAAUCUAAGUGGAGAGAUUGAUUACCAGAGCUACAUAACAUGGUAGUUGUGGAAUUAACAGUUACAGGAAUAGCUUUUUAUUUAAAACAAGCUUGGCAUUUUCUAUUUAUUUGGGGUUUUCUUGGUAUUACGGAGGGUGGCUCUUGCCAAUUAGUUCUCACUCCCUAAGACCCUGGAUGAGCUGCGGCAGUGUGCGAGAUUGGUAUUUAAAUCCAAGGCAGCCAGGAAGAAGGAUAUUGAAGCUGGAGUGCCCAGCAAUCUUUCAAAGGGGACAGAUGGAGACUGGUAACUAAAGACGGGAGGAUCCUGACAAAGGAAUGAAAUUAAUUUGGAUAGAACCCCUGGAGAUUGGACAGAGUUAAAUAGUCUAACAGUAGGGGGCUUAUUUUGCAGCCAGAAGUAGUUUUCUUUCUGAAAGAAGAGCCCUUUACACUGGGAAACAUUCUUUCUUCUUCCAUGGCAAUCUCUGUUUGGAGUCUUUAUUCUUGCCUCCCCCUCCUCAAUUUUGUCUUUCUUUGCCUUCGCCUUCAUUCUCUCCCUUCCUUUCUUUUUAACGCAUCCUUUCAUGAUUAGAUUAAUUUGUUUAUGCGGACAAGGCGGAGGAUGAGAGUUUGCACACUGGUAAGAACAGGCUUCCUUUCCCAGUGCACAGUCACGCUGAAAACAUCGAACUCUCCUUUCUGCCUGAUGGAGGUUGUCCGCAACAAAAAAUGACACCUCAUCUCAAAACAAAGGGAAAGGUUCUGAGAACUUUUAAAAUCCUAACUAAUCAAAAUCCUGCUGAGGUGAGGAGAGGGGAGUGUGUGUGUGUGUGUGUGUGUGUGUGUGUGUGUGUGUGUGUAUGGACCCACAGUUCUGAGGGACUAUCAUGGGCAGUCUCAGCAGAGGAGCCUGACGAUAAUAAGACUCUGAUGAGGACUGAUGCCAAAGGCAAAGAGGGUGAGAGGAGGUGCACAGGAGCUCUGCUGCUUCUAAGAGGUAUCUUGAAGUAGGGGACAGAGCCUGUAUGCAGUGUAUUUCUCAAACAGUGCAAUCCUGAUGUUGCCAAGUUCAUAUUCCCAGGAAGUGGGAGUCUGGAGUAGAAGUCUAAAAAUCUCAAUUCUCACCUAAGGUCUGUUCCCUUUUGCUGUGUCAUCCUGAGAAAGUUACUUAACCUCCCUGAGUCUUGGUUUCCUAAAAUAAAAUGGGCACAAUCGUGUUUCUCACAUUUUUUUAGAAAGGCAUAAAAUAGAUCAUCUUUGUGCUGGUGCUUAGAGAGCUGUGUGGUAUCAAAUACAACUUUGAGCAUUAAAUUGCCAUCUGCAAAAUGGGAAUAACGAUACUUACGGGGUUGUGUGAGAAUUUAACGAGAUAACAGAAGCUGGCAUGGGAAAAUGCUCAAUACUUGUUCAUGCCCUUACUUUCCCUCAGGUGUUGGUUAUCUUGGAUAUUUGGGAGAUAGUUAACAGCCUGGUUUGUAUUAAUGACUUUUGAUACUAGAUGAAAACCAUAGUUAAGAGAAUGAAUUUGCUGAAAAUUACAAAAUGCAUUCCUGAGAAAAAUGGAACAGCAUUUAAUAUGAUUUGCUGUAUUUCAGAUUAUCAAUUGGUCAUUGAUAUAGCUAACUCAGAGUUGACUCUAUAUAUGCAAAUGAUUAGCAGGAAAAAAAAGUAUAUAAUUAUAUGAUCUCAUCAGCUUUCAUUAUAACCUUAACUGGUGUCAGGUGGACACUGACCAUUUAGAAUAGACACCUAUCACAGUGCUGGAGCAGGGGCUCAGAGGCACUCUCCUGUGACAUGCAAGACAUUAACCUUUGAAUUGCUGUAUCCUAGGGAAUCUGAAAGGUCUGGGACAGACCCUGGGGAAAACAGGAAGUCCUUGAAGGGGUUUGGGGCAGUGACUCUUUAUUAAGUGGUAUGAAAGUAUUUUGAUAUUUUAUUUUUUUUUAAUGUUUAUUUUU